rnacentral:misc_RNA from 1 species
GAUGAAGAACGUAGCGAAAUGCGAUAAGUAAUGUGAAUUGCAGAAUUCAGUGAAUCAUCGAAUCUUUGAACGCACAUUGCGCCCGCCAGUAUUCUGGCGGGCACGCCUGUUCGAGCGUCAUUUCAACCAUCAAGCCCCCGGCUUGUGUUGGGGACCUGCGGCUGCCGCAGGCCCUGAAAACCAGUGGCGGGCUCGCUGUCACACCGAGCGUAGUAGAUUUUCAUCUCGCUCAGGGCGUGCUGCGGGUUCCGGCCGUAAAAAGCCUUAUUUACCCAAGGUUGACCUCGGAUCAGGUAGGAAGACCCGCUGAACUUAAGCAUAUCAAUAAGCGGAGGA